rnacentral:piRNA from 1 species
UAAACAAACGCACGCACACCCGAGCUC